rnacentral:rRNA from 1 species
UGCAUGGUUGUCGUCAGCUCGUGUCGUGAGAUGUUGGUUAAGUCCCGCAACGAGCGCAACCCCUAUCUUUAGUUGCCAUCAUUAAGUUGGGCACUCUAAAGAGACUGCCGGUGUCAAACCGGAGGAAGGUGGGGAUGACGUCAAGUCCUCAUGGCCUUUAUGACCAGGGCUACACACGUACUACAAUGGCCGGUACAAAGGGCAGCGACACAGCGAUGUGAAGCCAAUCCCGAAAAGCCGGUCUCAGUCCGGAUUGGAGUCUGCAACUCGACUCCAUGAAGUUGGAAUCGCUAGUAAUCGUGGAUCAGCACGCCACGGUGAAUACGUUCCCGGGCCUU